rnacentral:rRNA from 1 species
UACGUAGGGUGCAAGCGUUGUCCGGAAUUAUUGGGCGUAAAGAGCUCGUAGGCGGCCUGUCGCGUCGGCUGUGAAAACCCGGGGCUCAACCCCGGGCCUGCAGUCGAUACGAGCAAACUAGAGUGUUGCAGGGGAGACUGGAAUUCCUGGUGUAGCGGUGAAAUGCGCAGAUAUCAGGAGGAACACCGGUGGCGAAGGCGGGUCUCUGGGCAACAACUGACGCUGAGGAGCGAAAGCGUGGGGAGCGAACAGG